rnacentral:rRNA from 2 species
UAGGCCAGAUGUGGAAGCCCGGUAACGGGUGGAGCUGACUGGUACUAAUAGGCCGAGGGCUUGUCCUCAGUUG